GUCAAGUCGAAACCCAUCCGUUCCCAACCUUAUCCUCAUUCCUCCUCAUCCAGUCAUCCCCAACCUCUCGCAUCGGCUUCUUCGUGCAGUGCGGCCACAGCGUCAUCAGGCAGCGGCGCCGCCACCGUAGACGGCGGGGUCUACCGUUGCGGGCGGCCGUAUUUGGCCGUUCAGCCAACACCGCGAGAAAACAGUCGAUGCCGGUUAGGCCUUGACCUCGCUGGUGGCAACGGCACCACGACAAGGUACAACCGUUGUCAAAGAGGAUCCGAGCUCGGCGGCGGCGACACGGCGGCGGCGAUGGCGGUGGCGGCGUCAACGUCACAAGGAGAUACGCCUAGCGACGGUUAGGGCCCUGAGCUUGCCGGCGGCGGUGGCACUGCGAGGGAGCGGACUAAAACUUGAGGCGCCGUUGAUGGAGAUGGCCCUGCGCUCGCCGACGAAGUCAAAAGCUCAACAGUGAAUGGAGUGGGACCGGGACGAGGACGUGGGCGGAGAUGGUUGGCCUUAGAGGGAUGGUUGAAGCUAGCCUUGGUUUGGUUGAGCGGGGUUAGCGUGGUGGCGGGGUAAGCAAUAGGGAUAGAGGGGAGCAGCGUGGCAAGGCUGCGGGAGGAGAAAAUAACUCACCUAGUUGCUGGGCCAAGCUUGCCGGAGGGAAGGCAGAUAUGGGGCUCACUUGCGUCGAGUUUGUUGGCAUUUUGUCACAGAUGAGAAAUUAAGAAGUUGGUGAAGAGAGAGGAAGGCCGCUAAUAUGGGGGCGGUGGAAGAGGCUUGGCGGGGGUGCUCCUCGCAUCGGAUACAUCACCGUCUCGAUUAAGUCGCAACUGGAGGACAACGGGAAGAGGAUAAUGUGGAUCGGGUGCAAGCUAAUUGGUUUGCUCGGAUUAGCUCGUGUACUAUAUCAUAGGUGCCACAAGAGAAAUCUUCCCUGCACACGUCAAACAAGCUAUGUGGCCAUUAUAAUAGUAAUUAAAGUGCUACCAUGUUUCAUAAUUGGUGCUUAAAUUGUCUAUAAUGCUUAGAUGGCUAAAUAAGAAAAGGCUACCAUACGAAUGUGUAUAGUCGCUAAUGCUUAAAUGGCUAGAUGAGAAAAGGCUCCUUUGUGUUUUUCGAUUAGCAUCAGUGAUAACGUGGUUUAUAUUUUGGGAGUAGCUAUACAACAUUCAGACAGCUUUUUGGAUGAAAAACUUUCAGAUGUAACAUUGUAGUGUAGUUACAUUGUAACUACUAUGCAACUGUGAUAUAAUUGAUAGUAACUUGGGUGUAACAGUCAAAAAAAAAAAAGUGCGAUGGAUCAA